CGUCUAUAUACGUAUAGCAUAUCAAUAAGCGGAGGAAAAGAAACUAACUAGGAUUCCCUCAGUAACGGCGAGUGAAGCGGGAAGAGCUCAAAUUUGAAAUCUUCAAGGUUCUACCUUGACGAAUUGUAGUUUAAAGAAGUGUUUUCUGUUGGAGUUUUGGUAAAAGUUCUUUGGAAUAGGACAUCAUAGAGGGUGAGAAUCCCGUAUUUGACCAUUAUUUCCAACUUUGUGAUACACUUUCAAAGAGUCGGAUUGUUUGGGAAUGCAGUCCAAAAUGGGUGGUAAAUUUCAUCUAAAGCUAAAUACUGGCGAGAGACCGAUAGCGAACAAGUACCGUGAGGGAAAGAUGAAAAGAACUUUGAAAAGAGAGUUAAACAGUACGUGAAAUUGUCAAAAGGGAAGCGUUUGACACCAGUGUUGUUUUCUCGAAAAUCAAUUAAAAAAGAUUGGAUUUUGUGUUGUAUUGACUUUAUCAGCUUUCUGCACUCUUUUCUUGUCUUUUUUAAUGCACUUUUCGUUUAACAAGUCAACAUCAAUUUCUUUUGUUGUAAAAGGGUCAUUGGAAGGUGGCUUUCUUUUCGGAGAAAGUGUUUAUAGCCUUUGACUUCUGCAAUCGGAGAGAUUGAGGUCUGCAGCGUAGAUCCUUCGGGGUUAGAUAGCAUCUGUGCUAAGUUAUAGCCUUUCAUAGACAACUUGUUGACUAUGAUCAGUCAUGUAGCUUACUCGCUUAUGCUAUUUUACCUACGCUUAGGAUGUUGACGAUCAGCUGAGCGCG
rnacentral:rRNA from 1 species